rnacentral:rRNA from 1 species
UACGGCGGGGGCUAGCGUUGUUCGGAAUUACUGGGCGUAAAGCGCACGUAGGCGGCUUUGUAAGUUAGAGGUGAAAGCCCAGGGCUUAACCCUGGAAUUGCCUUUAAGACUGCAUCGCUAGAAUUGUGGAGAGGUAAGUGGAAUUCCGAGUGUAGAGGUGAAAUUCGUAGAUAUUCGGAAGAACACCAGUGGCGAAGGCGACUUACUGGACACAUAUUGACGCUGAGGUGCGAAAGCGUGGGGAGCAAACAGG